AGUGAACGCUGGCGGUAGGCCUAACACAUGCAAGUCGAACGGCAGCACAGUAAGAGCCUGCUCUUACGGGUGGCGAGUGGCGGACGGGUGAGGAAUACAUCGGAAUCUACUUUUUCGUGGGGGAUAACGUAGGGAAACUUACGCUAAUACCGCAUACGACCUACGGGUGAAAGCAGGAGAUCUUCGGACCUUGCGCGAUUGAAUGAGCCGAUGUCGGAUUAGCUAGUUGGCGGGGUAAAGGCCCACCAAGGCGACGAUCCGUAGCUGGUCUGAGAGGAUGAUCCGCCACACUGGAACUGAGACACGGUCCAGACUCCUACGGGAGGCAGCAGUGGGGAAUAUUGGACAAUGGGCGCAAGCCUGAUCCAGCCAUACCGCGUGGGUGAAGAAGGCCUUCGGGUUGUAAAGCCCUUUUGUUGGGAAAGAAAAGCAGCAGGUUAAUACCCCGCUGUUCUGACGGUACCCAAAGAAUAAGCACCGGCUAACUUCGUG
rnacentral:rRNA from 1 species